rnacentral:lncRNA from 1 species
GUGGGAAUUGCACCCUGGUGGGUUGGGAUUGCCCGGUUCCCAGUGGGAAUUCCCGGAUUUCAGUGGGAUUCCCCAGUUUCCAGUGGGAAUUCCCGGAUUUCAGUGGGAUUCCCCAGUUUCCAGUGGGAAUUGCACCCGGUGGGUUGGGAUUGCCCAGUUCCCAGUGGGAAUUCCCGGAUUUCAGUGGGAUUCCCCAGUUCCCAGUGGGAUUCUCCAGUUUCCAGUGGGAUUCUCCAGUUUCCAGUGGGAAUUGCACCCCGGUGGGUUGGGAUUGCCCAGUUCCCAGUGGGAUUCUCCAGUUCGCAGUGGGAUUUCCCAGUUUCCAGUGGGAUUUCCCAGUUUCCAGUGGGAUUUCCCAGUUUCCAGUGGGAAUUCCCGGAUUUCAGUGGGAUUCCCCAGUUUCCAGUGGGAUUCUCCAGUUUCCAGUGGGAUUUCCCAGGUUUCCAGUGGGAAUUGCACCCCGGUGGGUUGGGAUUGCCCAGUUCCCAGCGGGAUUCUCCAGUUCCCAGUGGGAAUUGCACCCGGUGGGUUGGGAUUGCCCAGUUCCCAGUGGGAUUCUCCAGUUCCCAGUGGGAUUUCCCAGUUCCCAGUGGGAUUCU